CGCGUUUGCCAAAUUAGCGUCGCCACAAGUCGUCGGCGGGCUGCAUCUCUUUCGGAUGUAUAGCCUUGGCUUGAAAGGUAGAAGAGGAGAAAUUUGGGAUUAUACAACGUGAACGAUGAAGACGUCCCACAUGAAAGUUUAUUACUGUAGUGUUUGGAUAGGACAAAUAAUACUAGGAAGGGUGUUGGGAACUAAUACAAGUAAUAAUAAUUGGUGUACCUACGAAAAUGUAGACAAUUGUCAAACGCAGACCUCAAGAUCCCAGCCAAAAUCACACUGUCGCCUGAUGAACCACGAGUGCCUCCAACGCAAUUCCAAUGCCAAUGGUCCAUUGACUCCAUAUGUCUUCUUCAUCAAAGGUUGGUUGUACUUGUUUCUUCAUCAAUGAUUGUGCGCGGGCAGAACCCAGCCGGGCCGGCAGUGGUAGUACUCGGCCCUUUUGUACGUUCCGUAUUCUGACACCCUCCUGACCGGACACCGUC
rnacentral:lncRNA from 1 species